GAUUACCCGCUUGAAACUAAGCAUAUCAAUAAGCGGAGGAAAAGAAACUAACAAGGAUUCCCCUAGUAACUGCGAGUGAAGCGGGAAAAGCUCAAAUUUAAAAUCUGGCGGUCUUUGGCCGUCCGAGUUGUAGUCUGGAGAAGUGCUUUCCGCGCUGGACCGUGUAUAAGUCUCUUGGAACAGAGCGUCAUAGAGGGUGAGAAUCCCGUCUUUGACACGGACUACCAGUGCUUUGUGAUGCGCUCUCAAAGAGUCGAGUUGUUUGGGAAUGCAGCUCAAAAUGGGUGGUGAAUUCCAUCUAAAGCUAAAUAUUGGCGAGAGACCGAUAGCGAACAAGUACCGUGAGGGAAAGAUGAAAAGCACUUUGGAAAGAGAGUUAAACAGUACGUGAAAUUGCUGAAAGGGAAACGCUUGAAGUCAGUCGCGUCGGCCGGAACUCAGCCUUGCUUUUGCUUGGUGCACUUUCCGGUUGACGGGCCAGCAUCGAUUUUGACCGUCGGAAAAGGGCUAGAGUAAUGUGGCACCUCCGGGUGUGUUAUAGACUCUAGUCGCAUACGGCGGUUGGGAUCGAGGAACGCAGCGCGCCGCAAGGCAGGGGUUCGCCCACUUUCGCGCUUAGGAUGCUGGCAUAAUGGCUUUAAACGACCCGUCUUGAAACACGGACCAAGGAGUCUAACAUACCUGCGAGUGUUUGGGUGGAAAACCCGAGCGCGUAAUGAAAGUGAAAGUUGGGACCUCUGUCGUGGAGGGCACCGACGCCCGGACCUGACGUUCUCUGACGGAUCCGCGGUAGAGCAUGUAUGUUGGGACCCGAAAGAUGGUGAACUAUGCCUGAAUAGGGUGAAGCCAGAGGAAACUCUGGUGGAGGCUCGUAGCGAUUCUGACGUGCAAAUCGAUCGUCAAAUUUGGGUAUAGGGGCGAAAGACUAAUUCGAACCUCAGCGUU
rnacentral:rRNA from 1 species